rnacentral:ncRNA from 1 species
AGAAAGUUUUAUUUUGUCUUAAUAAAUUAAUUUAUGUAUAAUUUAAAUGUAAAUUUUUGUGUGAUUAUUAGUUAAUUUAAAUAAUUAAUUAAAAAUUUUUAUUCGCAGUAUGUUAAUUUAUAAAUUAAAGAAAUUUAGAUUUAGAAAUAUAUAUUAGUAUUAACAAAAUUUGUGCCAGCAGUUGCGGUUACACAAAUAAUGCAAUUAUUUUUUAUUUAUAAAUAGUAAAUUUUAAUUAUAAAAGAUUUAUGUUUGAAUUUGUUAGGUGAAAUUUUAAAUUUAAAGGUAUAAUUUUAAAUAAUUUUUUGAUUCUGUUAAAUUUUAAUAAUAAACUAGGAUUAGAUACCCUAUUAUAAAAAUGUAAAUUGUUGUAUAAAAUUAGUAAUAGUUAUAGUCUUAAAAAUUAAAAAAUUUGGCGGUAUUUUAGUCUUUUCAGAGGAACCUGUCCUUUAAUUGAUAAUCCACGAUUAGAAUUACUUAUAUUUUAUAUUUGUAUAUCAUCGUAAUUUGAAUAUUUUAUUAGAAUUUAAAUAUUCAAGAUUUAAAAUUUUAAUAUAAAUCAGAUCAAGGUGCAGUAUAUAUAAGAAGAGAUGGGUUACAAUAAAUUUAUUUUUGGUUUAAUUGAUUAAAUUUAAUUAAUAAAUUGGAUUUGAAAGUAAUAUUAUUUAUAUAAAUAGUAUGAUUUGAGCUCUAAAAUAUGCACAUAUUGCCCGUCACUUUCGAAAUAAUUUGAAAUAAGUCGUAACAGAGUAGAGGUACUGGAAAGUGUUUCUUGAAUUAC